rnacentral:rRNA from 1 species
CCCAGACAGCCAGGAUGUUGGCUUAGAAGCAGCCAUCAUUUAAAGAAAGCGUAAUAGCUCACUGGUCGAGUCGGCCUGCGCGGAAGAUGUAACGGGGCUAAACCAUGCACCGAAGCUGCGGCAGCGACACUCAGGUGUUGUUGGGUAGGGGAGCGUUCUGUAAGCCUGCGAAGGUGUGUCGUGAGGCAUGCUGGAGGUAUCAGAAGUGCGAAUGCUGACAUAAGUAACGAUAAAGCGGGUGAAAAGCCCGCUCGCCGGAAGACCAAGGGUUCCUGUCCAACGUUAAUCGGGGCAGG